AGGACGAACGCUGGCGGCGUGCUUAACACAUGCAAGUCGAACGAUGACGGAGAGCUUGCUCUUCUGAUUAGUGGCGAACGGGUGAGUAACACGUGAGUAACCUGCCCUUGACUCUGGGAUAAGCA
rnacentral:rRNA from 1 species